GAUGAACGCUAGCGGCAGGCCUAACACAUGCAAGUCGAGGGGUAGUAAGUCUUCGGAUUUAUGAGACCGGCGCACGGGUGCGUAACGCGUAUGCAAUCUACCUUGUUCAAAGGGAUAGCCCAGAGAAAUUUGGAUUAAUACCUUAUAGUAUUAUAAAAUGGCAUCAUUUAAUAAUUAAAGAUUUAUCGGAACAAGAUGAGCAUGCGUCCCAUUAGCUAGUUGGUAUGGUAACGGCAUACCAAGGCAAUGAUGGGUAGGGGUCCUGAGAGGGAGAUCCCCCACACUGGUACUGAGACACGGACCAGACUCCUACGGGAGGCAGCAGUGAGGAAUAUUGGACAAUGGGCGCAAGCCUGAUCCAGCCAUGCCGCGUGCAGGAAGACGGUCCUAUGGAUUGUAAACUGCUUUUAUACAGGAAGAAACAACUCUACGUGUAGAGUCUUGACGGUACUGUAGGAAUAAGGAUCGGCUAACUCCGUG
rnacentral:rRNA from 2 species